UGCACAAGAUCUCUAAAUAAAAUAGCUCUCGAAAUGCAAUCCUAUUAGAAAAUCUGCCUUUGACUUCACACAUUCUAAUAUUCUGACUCUUCCAAUGGGAUAAACAACAAAAAUUCCUCUCAGGUACCUUCGAAGGGGUCUGCAAGGGAUAAGCAGUUUUGCUUUUAUAUUAAUUUGGAUGAGUUUGCUUUGAAAUGUUCCUCACUGAUAUGCCCAGAAGGACUCCUGCAUGUAAGGCUCUCCAAACACCAAGAAAAUGUCACCAAUCUCUGUUGGGGCAGUUGGGAGAAGACUUGGAGGAUCUGCCAAGAGAAAGGUGUCCUGGUGGGAGGAUGGCACCCAGGAGCAGCUCAGCAAUGCAGAAGGCGAAAACAGUGAGACUGGCAAAUAUUUGGAAAAAUAAGGAGAUUCACGUAAGAAUGAGGAUAAAGUUAUACAAUGUCAUUGUGAUGCUCACACUGUUCUCUGCUUCUGAAACUUGGCAAAUGUGACAACAGGAAACGUAACACAUUCCAUCAGAGAUGCUUACAUAGAAUGCUUGGCGUCCGCUGGUGAGAUAAAGUAGCUAAUGCUGAGGUAUUACAAAAGAUUGUCCAACAGGCUAUAGGAAAAGAAUGCUGAUGUGCUUUGGGCAUAUGGUAUAGAUGUAAAAAAACCUGUAUUUUCUUAGACAAGCCCUCUACAUUGGAUACCACUUUGUGGAAGACUGAAAAGAGGACAACAGAUGAUAUAUCAGAAAACCAUUAAGAAAGAUGUCACUCUCAUGGAAGCAGACUUCAAUGGAGCAAGAAAUGUGGCACCAGACAGAUGAAGGUGGAAACACCGGGUUGCCUCAUGGUUCACAAGGCAUGAAAACAUCUAAUAAUAAUAAAAUGAUAAUAAUUUUCUUCAACAGAUUGGUUAUAUCCAUAAAUUGUUCUUGCUAACUGCAGAGUGUAAAAUGUUAUAACUGUCUAUGCUAAUCACAUCAAAUGCUACAUUCUGUUUUAUGAGGAAACCUGGUGCAACGUAUUCCACAAUUUUAACUGCACGCAUUAACUCCCAUUUCAUUGAUGCCAUUUUGGCCCAGAUUAAAACUAAAUGCAUUAUUGCACUGCA